CCCUUAGAUGUUCUGGGCUGCACGCGCGCUACACUGAUGCACUCAACGAGUUUACAACCUUAUCCGGAAGGAUUGGGUAAUCUUUUGAACGUGCAUCGUGAUGGGGAUAGAUUAUUGCAAUUAUUAAUCUUCAACGAGGAAUGCCUAGUAAGCGCAAGUCAUCAGCUUGCGUUGAUUACGUCCCUGCCCUUUGUACACACCGCCCGUCGCUCCUACCGAUUGAAUGGUCCGGUGAAGCGUUCGGACCGUGGCCUUUGGACGGUUCGCCGUCUGUUGGCUGCGGGAAGUUCGUUAAACCUUAUCAUUUAGAGGAAGGAGAAGUCGUAACA
rnacentral:rRNA from 1 species